rnacentral:lncRNA from 1 species
CCAUCAUCAUUACCAUGCAUCCAUGCACAUAUCAUCAUCAUAUCACAUGUACCAUCAUCAUUACCAUGCAUCCAUGCACUCAUCAUCAUCAUAUCACAUGUACCAUCAUCAUUACCAUGCAUCCAUGCAUUCAUCAAUCAUCAUAUCACAUGUACCAUCAUCAUUACCAUGCAUCCAUGCACAUAUCAUCAUCAUAUCACAU